rnacentral:misc_RNA from 1 species
GUCACUUCACUCUCCUCAUCCACCACCACUAAUUCCAUGCUUAACACACUGUUUUAAAUUUAAUUAACUAAAUGAGUUUUUAUAAUGUUGUGAUUAUUUGUUAAUUAUUCUUAACAUUUUGAUGCAGAUUAUCGUGGGCUGUCUGAUUCUUUCAGGUUUCUUUUCAAGAAUCGGAUCCACUGGUCUGGCCUAUCCUAACUGUCUAGGGACAAGGGUAUCGACCAAAAUAUCUUGUUACAUAGGUGAUAUAUCAUUUUGUUAGCUCUGAUUUCUGCCGUGUGUAUCUAUCUCUAUAGAGCAUCUAUGAUCACAAUCAAAAAGAUUGUAGUAGGAAAGAUUAGUUGUAAAGGUACAAACCGUGUUAUCAUUAACUGGUGAAGGUACCUUAAGCCAAUCUUUUAGAUGCAUAGAUUCUGGGAGAUGAUGUGUGUGAA